ACAACUACAAUCUCUAUCAGCACGUAGAAGCAGUACGGUGGAGAAGGGAAAGGACGAGGUGUAGGUAUUGACCAGCUUUCUCAUUCCUGACUUGUCUAACGCAGACUAGCUAAGAGCACAAGAACACAACUUGCCAGAUUUCUCUCGGGUUACAAAGAAAGAAAAAGAAAGGAAAGGAAAGAAAUGAUGAUUAAAAAAAAAAAAAGAAGAAAGAAAAGAGGAAGAAUUCCCUAAGGAAACUCAGACGGCCUUAUUUCCCCCUCACGUUUGAGGGCGAAACUCUUAAGGGGCAACGGAGAAGAGAAGGGCUUCCUAAUGUCGAGAGGCGGCCAGCCGUGAUGAGGAUCGCAUUUGCAGGAGAACUUGGGCUUGGGUGCGCACCAGGCUGCUUCUCGAGGGAGGCCAGUUCUUGCAUUGGCAGUAAAGGAUGGCAUUGCUAAAAGAUGAACAAGAAGAGGGAAAGAAGACAAGAAAAGUUCUGUGAAAAAAUCCACAAACUGUACAUCCAUUUCCUAAUGGUCAAGUAAGAACUAACUGAAUCAGAGAAGAUGUGGUAGACAAGAUUCAGCAUAUAAAUGAUUUAUUUUAA